UACGUAGGGGGCUAGCGUUGUCCGGAAUCAUUGGGCGUAAAGCGCGUGUAGGCGGUCCGGUAAGUCCGCUGUGAAAGUCGGGGGCUCAACCCUCGGAUGCCGGUGGAUACUGUCGGGCUUGAGUACGGAAGAGGCGAGUGGAAUUCCUGGUGUAGCGGUGAAAUGCGCAGAUAUCAGGAGGAACACCGGUGGCGAAGGCGGGUCUCUGGGCCGAUACUGACGCUGAGACGCGAAAGCUAGGGGAGCGAACAGG
rnacentral:rRNA from 1 species